rnacentral:tRNA from 1 species
AAGGGUAUAGCUCAGUGGUAGAGUGCACACCUAGCAUGCAUGAGGUCCUGGGUUCAACUCCCAGUACCUCCA